rnacentral:misc_RNA from 1 species
AGUCAUCAACCGCUCCCGUUUUUGAAAGCGGGGGGACGGGUUGGAUCUGGGGGUUUGCCGCUGCGAAGCGGCUCCCUUCAAAUGCAUCGGUUGGACCUGUGGGUCGAACUCGACCGGGCGUUGUAACAUCCUCGCUCUACCGAGAAGUUCCCCUUUGGUGUCCUCCCACGACCGCCUGUGGAGUGGCGGUCAACUUGCUUUGAA